GUUAUCACUCACCUUAGGUAGUCUGUGAAGGUCCAGUCAUCACUGGCGCACGUGUAUCUUACCUGUGAUCAACACCGGCAGCCACAGACUCCUGCCCAAGGAACGAACACAGUGAUCGUGAUGACAUUGACAACAACGAGCAAGUCCUCCUAGACCUAGAGUGACCUCAAGCUGGGCCAAACAUGAUGUGGAAGAAGAAAUCAGUUGUCUCCAUCAGUCGGGUUUGUGCCAUGGCAGCUUUCUCCAGCUGUCCGGCAGAGGUCCAGUCCAUGCCAUGGAGAAAUUCAGCCCCCAACAAUGAGAUGGCAUGCCAGAGAUGGAUCCGCAGCUUCUCCUCCAAUCAAUCAAUCCUUGCAAUGCCUUUUCUCUUUUCUCUCCUUCUGUACCACCAUGCUUACACAUAACUGAUCCAAGGUACUGAAACUCAUUACCCUCCUCCAUUUCUUCACCAUUCAAAAUUAUUUGGCAUUCUUUUUCACAUUCAAUGCCCACUCUAUAUGGGCAUACAAACUCUACAACCUCCCUUCUACUCCGCUCACAAACCAUCACUUUACUUUUGUUGACAUUUACUUUCAACUUUCUCCUUUUACAUACACUAUCAAAAACACUGACCAAAUUUUGUAAGUCACUUUCAUUUUCUGCAUUGAGCACCGUGUCAUCAGCAUACAUUUUUACUUCAAUUUCGCCAACUUUGCCCUUCAUUUCUCAUAACACCAUCCAUAUAAAUAUUGAACAACCACGAUGACAUGACACACCCCUUCCUUAGCCCACUUUCAUCUCAAAAUGUUCACUUGUUUCUCCAGUAAUUUUGACACAUGCAGAUGCAUCCUCAUAGAAAGACUUUAUUGCAUAAAGCAGUUUUCCUCCCACACCAUAUAUCUUUAAGAUGUCCCACAAUGCCAGCC